rnacentral:snRNA from 1 species
GGAUGUGAGGGCGAUCUGGCUGCGACAUCUGUCACCCCAUUGAUCGCCAGGGUUGAUUCGGCUGAUCUGGCUGGCUAGGCGGGUGUCCCCUUCCUCCCUCACCGCUCCAUGUGCGUCCCUCCCGAAGCUGCGCGCUCGGUCGAAGAGGACGACCACCCCCGAUAGAGGAGGACCGUUCCUCGGUCAAGGGUAUACGAGUAGCUGCGCUCCCCUGCUAGAACCUCCAAACAAGCUCUCAAGGUCCAUUUGUAGGAGAACGUAGGGUAGUCAAGCUUCCAAGACUCCAGACACAUCCAAAUGAGGCGCUGCACGUGGCAGUCUGCCUUCCUUU